rnacentral:lncRNA from 1 species
CCAGGCUCUUCCCCAGUCUCUUCCCCAGUCCCAGUCUCUUCCCCAGUCUCUUCCCCAGUCUCUUCCCCAGUCUCUUCCCCAGGCUCUUCCCCAGUCUCUUCCCCAGUCCCAGGCUCUUCCCCAGUCUCUUCCCCAGUCUCAGCCUCAUCCCCUGGUUCCCCCGAUACUUCCCCAGAUGGCAUCUCCCCCUAUGAGGACAUGGAGGGGUCGGGUGGCCAUACCCAGGAGGGCUCAACAGAUGAUACCCGGCCCACCCCAGCCUUAGAUAGCCAACCAGGUGUGGUCACGGACGAGACAGAGAUUGGAGGGGCGGAGAGCGUCACACACACCCCAUCUCACACACACUACACUUACACCAAAGACACACAAACUCCCUCUCAGACCGAGGUAGGAGACUUUGAGGGGUCUACGUCGACAGAAGAGGAAGGCUCGGCCCAGGAGGUGUACCCACCUGAAGACCCCAGAAUCACCAGCCCUGGCAGCCCUGGAGCCAUUGAGGCUCCCCUGGUGGGGCCUGGGGUGGAGGGACAGGUGACAGUUACACCCGAACCGGGAGCCAGACCAGGAGCCAGACCAGGAGCCAGACCAGCCCAGGCAGGAGGGACUGUAGGAGACCACACUGCACAUCACAUAGACUCUUCUACACAGCACACAGACUACCCCCUCCAGCCUACCAUGCAGGAUAAAGACCUCUGGACUCAUACUGAGGAUCAGACCAGAUACCCACCUACACAUGGGAAGGACCAAACCACCCAGCAUGCCUCACACCAUAGGGAUCACUCCACAUACACUAAGGAUCAUACCAAAUACCCCACUACACAAACCACCCAGCAUCCAACACACGAUGGAGAUCACUCCACACACACUAAAGAGCAAACCAAACAACCUUCUCACCCUAGAUUCCCCACCACCCACCACCAGGAGCAAACCAGCCUCUCUACCACAGAUCAGAAGACCACACAGCACCUGAACCUGACAUACACACACCCUGCUCACCCCUCCACUCCACCUCCCACCCACUCCUCCACUCCACCUUCUGCACAUCCCUCCACUCCACCUCCCACCCACUCCUCCACUCCACCUUCUGCACAUCCCUCCACUCC